ensembl:lncRNA
UUGGGAGUUUUUUCUCCUGUCAGGUAAUAAAUGAACAACUUAAUGUAAGGCAGCCGACUGAGGCAAAUGUCUUGAGAAUUGAACCACAUGAACUGUUUUAGAUCUUAUGAUGAAGUGUGAUGAACGGUGAUCAUUAGUGAUGGGUUGUUGUAAUGAAAGUGUACUAGUUAUAAGAUGAAGACUUAAACGAUGUAUGCUUUGUUAAAUUCACUCAUUGGGGCAUAAAGCCACUGUAUCUACAUUGAGUGCAUUGGAAUGUGAGGGACAGCUAGGACAGAGAGGUUUCAGGUUACAGCUGCAGCUUCACACCUCGACGUGAAGGGGACAAUGGAGGAGGUGACCCUUUGGAGAAGAGGCCAAUGACAUUCAAAUGCACCAAAGAAGACACACCUCAAGAGUUUUCAAAGGACCAAAGCGGGGAAAAGACUGUUAGAACUUCUCCUGCAGCCGCGUUGAUAAGUCACUUCAGACUUGCUCAGAGGAUUCUCUAUUUCGCGAAAUAUUCCACUGUUCGCUUAGUAUUUCACUUUGUAAUUGUAAUCCCUACUACGUUGUUUAGUCAUUAAAUACUUUUUGAUUUUUGAAUUUAAACGAAUUGACUCAUUCGUGUCCUCGUUUCCGGCCGGGACGAGAACAAAGGAUUGAGUCCUCCCUCGAGAGCUUCCGCAAACCGUAACAGUUGGCGCCCAACGUGGGGCUCUCGUUGGGGGAAGGCGUUGCUGAGAGGUUUGACUGCAAGUACCACGGGUACAAACAAGGUAAAACAGAACCUUUUUCAUGAAUUCUGUGAUAGGUAGAUUUAGGAAAAUUUAGAGUGGUGCUGGCAGUCGGCCAUGAGGCAAGGCCUUAGAUGCUAAAGACUAAAGGCUAGUACAUUAAUGACUUGGGUGAAUAUAAUAAGCUGAUAUUGAAUAACAGUGGGGGCAUACUUUUGCAAAGUGAAUGCGAAUGGGAGCCGGCUUUUAGAAAUUCCAAACACGCGCGUUUGGUGCGUUCAGGUACACACUUAGAGCGUUAGAAAAUCCAGGCGGCGAACUGGUCUGCUGAGACAUAAAGACCAGCAGGAUAAACUCAUACAAGUAGACCCGUAUGGGAUUGGUUAGGGGGUUCGCAUGAGGCGUGACAAUGCGCAUGUUGUCCACUAGGUUUCCCACAAUAAUUACGGCGUCUUUAGAGAAGACUCUUCUCUUCAUUUCCCCUCUCUGUGCAUAAAGUCCUUCACAAUUAGGUAUUGCAGGAUUUAAUAGAUUGGGGGGGGGGAGCUUGCUCUACGGGAUUGGCUUAAGUAUAUGAUUAAGGAAGCUCGAAGCUUUGGAGGCCUGAAGUCUGGAGGAUAAGAAGAGGUUAAAGGCCUGCAGUCUUGCCUCGAAUUUUGAGGCCAGUAGUCUCAUUUAAUAAAUGGGGCCAGUAGUCCUGCUUAAUAGAAAAUCCAGCGGCGACUGGUUAAGGUUAUGGUUAAGGUGAAAUCCAGCGGUGACUGGUAAGAUCUGCUUAACAUUUUCCACUCUCUAGAAAUCCUAUGAAUUAGGUAGAUAGGUUAUCUAGAAGAGGGUGGGUGGCAGAUAAGCGCUUUUGUGUAAAUGAUAGUGUAUAUACAUCUGCAUGCUGGUGUGAGUGUGAGUACGUGGUGCGUGAGUGUUUGAGUAACGUGGUGCAUGUGCUUGAUUGAUGAAUAGAUGUUCCGAAUUAUGUUUUGCUAUGUGUAUGUGAUUGUUUAACAGUGUAUAUAUAUGUAUAGAAUCCGAACUGGAGACUGAUCAUCUCCGGCGUCGGGUUGUAAAACCAUAGCAUAUUAAGGUGUUGGUGAGUAGACCAACCCGGACCACGUGGGGCUGCCUUGCCAGCGGCUAACGGGGUCUCAUUGGUAAUUCCACUGGGGAUAUAGCGUGGGUUAGCAGUUAGCUUCAGCCCAUUGUUCUU